rnacentral:rRNA from 1 species
GAUGAACGCUGGCGGCGUGCUUAACACAUGCAAGUCGAACGAAACACCUUAUUUGAUUUUCUUCGGAACUGAAGAUUUGGUGAUUGAGUGGCGGACGGGUGAGUAACGCGUGGGUAACCUGCCCUGUACAGGGGGAUAACAGUCAGAAAUGACUGCUAAUACCGCAUAAGACCACAGCACCGCAUGGUGCAGGGGUAAAAACUCCGGUGGUACAGGAUGGACCCGCGUCUGAUUAGCUGGUUGGUGAGGUAACGGCCCACCAAGGCGACGAUCAGUAGCCGGCUUGAGAGAGUGAACGGCCACAUUGGGACUGAGACACGGCCCAAACUCCUACGGGAGGCAGCAGUGGGGAAUAUUGCACAAUGGGGGAAACCCUGAUGCAGCGACGCCGCGUGAGUGAAGAAGUAUUUCGGUAUGUAAAGCUCUAUCAGCAGGGAAGAAAAUGACGGUACCUGACUAAGAAGCCCCGGCUAACUACGUG